UUCAUCGCCAGAGAAGUGACUCCAUUUAAGCCAAUCUCGUCACAAACUCCGAGUGCUGGAUGUCAGCUGCUCCAGAUCAAGCUGGAGGUGCAAGCCAGCGAGCAGAGCAUCUGAAAAUGAAAGACUGCGGGUGAAGGAAGCGGGAAGGUGAAUAAGAGGUCCAUGGGCUGCUUUUAUACUUCCAUCAUCAUAUCUGUGGCCUUCAAAGUUAUAGCUGAUGGACCUUCUGUCAAGACGCAGAUACUUAAUCAAUGUGACAGCAUCCUACAUUUUUUGAACCCAGAGGCCUUGAAAAAGUUUAAUGCAGCUUCCAGAGUGAAAGAAACAAAGAAAGCAAAGGGGAAGCUACCUGUUUGUAAUUGAACCGCUUAGAAGAGAGGAGCAGCAUUGGGCUGGUCCUUGCUGGCUGAUACAGCUUGCAGCAGCAGAGCCAUCUCAGCAGGAAAUUUCUGAUUUUCACUCCUGCUCUCCGUACAGUUUUAACUAUAAAGGUCAGUAAUGAAAAACAGAUGCCAAAAUGGGUCCAAAAUAGUUUAUGCUUAACUUUUAGCAUUUACUUAACUGCUUACUAGUUACAAAUCUGACACGCAGCAGACAUAACAGUGCUCUUGAGGAGAUUAAAGGAUUAGUCACUCACUGGCCUAAUCAGAUUAAUCAGAGAUUUUGAGCACAAUAUAAAAUUCUAUCCACAGAGGAGAUACAAGAUAGCCACAUGGUAGCCUAAUCUGGGGAGGUGUGCUAGGGUUCGGCAGAACAAGACAAUAGGUGAUGAUAGAUUGAUACAAUUACUAGUAUCCAGAAGGAUUUCACUAUGUCCUAGACUUGUAAGCAUCACUGAACCUGAUAUUUUCUAGGGGAAUUACAGAUUCACAUAAUAUAGCACCAAUAUCAGACAGUAGCCUAAGCAAAUCUAGAAGAUGAUGGAUAAAAUGUCUGUAUAUAUGCUUAAGAUCUUAGCAAACAGUAAGCAUAUGUAUAUGUUUUUCCUGAUUUAAUUUCAUAUUGGAAAACGUAUUUCUAAUUUCUAAUAAAUUAAUAUUCUAAUAAGUUCCCCCCACCCCCCUUUUUCCCCCUUCCUUUUGACGCCAUAGCAUUCAGGACACAAAGUGUGGGGAAGAAUUCAGCAAAAUGUUAAUACACAACUUUGUAUUGCAAUUGGAAGAUGCUAUGUGAUAUUGUGUUAUUCUGGGGCUGACAAAUAAGAUUCACUGUAACCUGAGCCGCCAAAGCUAGAAUUGAAACCCUUUUUCAUUUAUGAAACAAUUUAAUAUUUUUAAAGAAAAUCUGCUUUUCUCUUCCACACAAUCUGAAUAAAGGGAAAAGUGGGA